CCUCCUCGAUCUGCUGCGGGCAGAUGAAAUGGAUGUGCGUAUCGAUGCCUCCCGCGGUGACGAUCUUGCCUUCCCCGGCGAUGAUCUCGGUGCCGGGCCCAAUGACGAUUCCGACGUCGGGCUGCACGUCGGGAUUGCCCGCCUUGCCGAUGGCCGCGAUCAGUCCGUCCCUGAUCGCGAUGUCGGCCUUCACGAUGCCCCAGUAAUCGAGGAUCAGGGCGUUGGUGAUGACGGUAUCGACCGCUCCCUCGCUACGUGAGCGCUGCGAUUGACCCAUGCCGUCGCGGAUG
rnacentral:sRNA from 1 species